UACGUAGGGGGCUAGCGUUGUCCGGAAUCAUUGGGCGUAAAGAGCGUGUAGGCGGCCCGGUAAGUCCGCUGUGAAAGUCGGGGGCUCAACCCUCGAAUGCCGGUGGAUACUGUCGGGCUAGAGUGCGGAAGAGGCGAGUGGAAUUCCUGGUGUAGCGGUGAAAUGCGCAGAUAUCAGGAGGAGCACCGGUGGCGAAGGCGGGUCUCUGGGCCGAUACUGACGCUGAGGAGCGAAAGCGUGGGGAGCGAACAGG
rnacentral:rRNA from 1 species